rfam:Heligmosomoides polygyrus genome assembly, scaffold: HPBE_scaffold0001410
GCGCCGGUGAUGUAAGGCGUAGCAUCGCAGCCCGGAAAGCAGAAGAUGCGUGUUCGAGUCCCGCCUGGCGCA